UACGUAGGGUGCGAGCGUUGUCCGGAAUUACUGGGCGUAAAGGGCUCGUAGGCGGCCAACUAAGUCAUACGUGAAAUCCCUCGGCUUAACCGGGGAACUGCGUCUGAUACUGGAUGGCUUGAGUUCGGGAGAGGGAUGCGGAAUUCCAGGUGUAGCGGUGAAAUUCGUAGAUAUCGAGAGGAACACCGGUGGCGAAGGCGGCCAACUGGACGAAUACUGACGCUGAGACACGAAAGCGUGGGGAGCAAACAGG
rnacentral:rRNA from 1 species